UACGUAGGGUGCGAGCGUUGUCCGGAAUUACUGGGCGUAAAGAGCUCGUAGGUGGUUUGUCGCGUUGUCCGUGAAAACUCACAACUCAAUUGUGGGCGUGCGGGCGAUACGGGCAGACUGGAGUACUGCAGGGGAGACUGGAAUUCCUGGUGUAGCGGUGGAAUGCGCAGAUAUCAGGAGGAACACCGGUGGCGAAGGCGGGUCUCUGGGCAGUAACUGACGCUGAGGAGCGAAGGCGUGGGGAGCAAACAGG
rnacentral:rRNA from 1 species